GAUUCUCCGCUGUAUUUUGUUAUCCCAGUCGAAAUCGCGUUGGAAAUUUUUUGGGUGUUUGUGAGAUAUUUGGUCAGUGAUGAUUUCGAUCAAAGUCGAGUGUUGAUCUGAGACCUUUAUCACCGCUAACUGGUUGCAUCUUCACUACUUGGACGUUUUGGGUUGGUUUUCCGACGUCCUCGACUCGAUUCCGGCGAGACUUCAGAU
rnacentral:lncRNA from 1 species